UUGGAGGGCAAGUCUGGUGCCAGCAGCCGCGGUAAUUCCAGCUCCAAUAGCGUAUAUUAAAGUUGCUGCAGUUAAAAAGCUCGUAGUUGAAUUUCGGGACCAAUAUGUCGGUCGUGCUUCGGUACGUACUGUCAUUAUUGGUUUCUCCCUUCUGAAGAACCUUGAUGUCAUUAAUUUGGUGUCUUGGGGAAUCAGGACUGUUACUUUGAAAAAAUUAGAGUGUUUAAAGCAGGCUCGCGCUUGAAUACAUUAGCAUGGAAUAAUGAAAUAGGACGUUUGAUUCUAUUUUGUUGGUUUCUAGGAUCGACGUAAUGAUUAAUAGGGAUAGUUGGGGGCAUUAGUAUUCAAUUGUCAGAGGUGAAAUUCUUGGAUUUAUUGAAGACUAACUACUGCGAAAGCAUUUGCCAAGGAUGUUUUCAUUAAUCAAGAACGAAAGUUAGGGGAUCGAAGACGAUCAGAUACGAACGUAGUCUUAACCAUAAACUAUGCCGGCUAAGGGAUCGGAUGAUGUAA
rnacentral:rRNA from 1 species